CUAGAGUUUACAGAGAAUGGUCAGGAAAAGAGAGGUUAUCCAGUGGGCAGCAGUUGUGUGGAGGAAAAUGCCUUGUUGAUGUCAGAGGUCAGAGGUGAACAGGCAGACUGGUUGAAUGGGCGACUACGUGGAUGCCAUCAUGUCAAUACGUACCAACAUCUCUGAAGAAUGUUUCCAACACCUUGUUGAAUCUAUGCCUCAAAGAGUUAAGGCAGUUCUAAAGGUAAAAGGUGGUCCAACCCGAUACUAUCAAGGUGUACCUAGUAAAAUGGCCGGAGUGUAUGUGGGUGG